UACGGAGGGUGCUAGCGUUAAUCGGAAUAACUGGGCGUAGAGGGCACGCAGGCGGGCUUUUAAGUGAGAUGUGAAAUCCCCGGGCUUAACCUGGGAAUAGCAUUUCAGACUGGGAGGCUAGAGUACGGUAGGGGGGGGUAGAAUUCCACGUGUAGCGGUGAAAUGCGUAGAGAUGUGGAGGAAUACCGAAGGCGAAGGCAGCCGCUUGGGAAUGUACUGACGCUGAUGUGCGAAAGCGUGGGGAGCAAACAGG
rnacentral:rRNA from 1 species